rnacentral:rRNA from 1 species
CCUACAGGAGGCAGCAGUGGGGAAUAUUGCGCAAUGGGCGAAAGCCUGACGCAGCGACGCCGCGUGAGGGAUGAAGGUCUUCGGAUCGUAAACCUCCGUCAGCAGGGAAGAACGGUCACUGUGCUAAUCAGCAGUGAAUUGACGGUACCUGCAAAGGAAGCACCGGCCAACUCCGUGCCAGCAGCCGCGGCAAUACGGAGGGUGCGAGCGUUAAUCGGAAUUACGGGGCGUAAAGCGCUCGUAGGCGGUAUGUCAAGUCAAGGGUGAAAUCCCCACGCUCAACGUGGGAACUGCCUUUGAAACUGGCAGACUGGAGUGUGUGAGAGGAUGGUGGAAUGCCAGGUGUAGGAGUGAAAUGCGUAGAGAUCUGGAGGAACAUCAGUGGCGAAGGCGACUAUCUGGCACAUAACUGACGCUGAGGAGCGAAAGCGUGGGUAGCAAACAGGAUUAGAUACCCCUGUAGUC